GAUGAACGCUGGCGGCGUGCCUAAUACAUGCAAGUCGAGCGAACAGACGAGGAGCUUGCUCCUCUGACGUUAGCGGCGGACGGGUGAGUAACACGUGGAUAACCUACCUAUAAGACUGGGAUAGCUUCGGGAAACCGGAGCUAAUACCGGAUAAUAUAUUGAACCGCAUGGUUCAAUAGUGAAAGACGGUUUUGCUGUCACUUAUAGAUGGAUCCGCGCCGCAUUAGCUAGUUGGUAAGGUAACGGUUUACCAAGGCAACGAUGCGUAGCCGACCUGAGAGGGUGAUCGGCCACACUGGAACUGAGACACGGUCCAGACUCCUACGGGAGGCAGCAGUAGGGAAUCUUCCGCAAUGGGCGAAAGCCUGACGGAGCAACGCCGCGUGAGUGAUGAAGGUCUUCGGAUCGUAAAACUCUGUUAUUAGGGAAGAACAAAUGUGUAAGUAACUAUGCACGUCUUGACGGUACCUAAUCAGAAAGCCACGGCUAACUACGUG
rnacentral:rRNA from 1 species